CCUUAAUUGAAAAAUAUACUCUGCCAGAAAAUAUUCUAUAGGAUAUGCUUAUUAUCAAAUCUAUAUUCUGAUUACACGGAGAGAGAAACCCCUUAAAAUCCUACGAUUUUCGAUUACAUUGCCAUCUAAUUAAUUGCUAAAACCCCAUUUUGUGGCUCUGCCUGCAAGUGCAUGGCUUUGGCAGUGGUGUUCCAAAAAAUUUUGGAUUGCAAAUCACUAGAUAAACCACAUAUAUAAGGUGCACCAAAGGGUAAGAGCAAAUGCAGCCACGACGUAAGUCCACAACAUGAUCACAGAACAUUCACUCUCUCCAGCUUCAAACAGCUGCGCGAUUAUGCCUACGGUCAUUGCAGGCGGAAGUGCAUACUGAAGCAUAAGAACAAACUGAUAUAAUGAAUCUGAUCCAACCAUACCAAAAUGGUAUGCUGCUUUAACUACACCAAGGCCCAACAGAGGCAUCAAAAUAUAUCGCACUACUAUAAUUCCAGCAAUCACCCAUGUGUUUACUCCUGAUGUUGUUAAACCUUUAUAAAGGUUUGCUCCCACUAUCAGGGUCAUAGAUGGAACUGUUGCCUCCCCCAGCAAAGAUGCAGAAUUCUCAAGCACACGAAGAGGAGCACUGUCGCCAAUUAUCAACUUCCUGAUUGGAGAGACUGUCCCAAUAAUAAACCCAAUAAUAGCUGCUAUUGUGGAAGGAGCAAAAACCAUCUUCAGGUUGAUCUUUUCUGCAAAAAUUUUUAUGCGCUGAAAAGCUCUCCCCAAAUAAGACAGUUUUCCCUCGGACGCAGUUCUUGAAAGGGCAUUGGAACUGGAGUUUUCCGUUGAAGGAAGUAGUAGUGAUUCAGUGCAACUUUCUAGAAAUGUUUGUGUCUCAUUUGUAUGGUUAUUGGUAGCCGCAACACUCUUAUCUGCAUAUAUUCGCAUGAUAAAAUAUACGUACGUCCAUAUGUAUACAGCUCCCACCUGUAGCAACAGAUAUUGCAAAAUAUACUCCAUCAAAUUAGUAUAUGGAAUAUUAUGUAUAUAAAUCAGAAAUGUAAAUAGAAGAUGGUACCGCCAUGGAAAGGGAAGCAUAAGCUUCUCCAUAAGUCGAACAGAUGGUUGAAUCUCCAAAUGGACUAUUUGACUCUUCACACACUGCUGGAACAAUAAUGAGAAGCAAGUUUCCCAAAUUUCCAGCAGAACAGCAACCAAUGACGAGACCUUGGAAUUGAGGUGGAGUUUUAGUGAUUUUAAUAAGAAUCCAGGCAAACACCGAGCCAAUUAUGAAGGUAAGGAGGAUAUUCACUGGCAUAAACCACAAGGAAACCAGACUUGAAAAAGUAAUAGUUUCUCCGAGUUGGCUAACCACCAGCGCAGGACUUAACACGUAGAAUACAAGAUUAUUGAGAUUGUGUCUAGCAGUGGGUCCCAACAGAUUUAUGCGAUCUAGCGCGAGAGAUAAUCCAAUUCCAGUGACCACUAGAACUUCCAGCACCGGGAUUAAUGCCACUACCAGCAGAUCCAAGAAUCCCAUCUUCGACGCCCACUAUCAGUGAAGGAGUUCGAUGAGAUAUAUGAUACUGCUGCACUGCACGAGAGCCAACUCAAGCUUCCAUUAAUUAGGAGCCAAGAGAGCAGUAGUGAGCGAUUCUGGUUCGGUUUCUCGCGUCUGAUGAUGGGAAAAUUUUAGUUUAAACAAGAAAGAAUAAAAUAAGGGGUACAGAGAUUUUCUUCUGCUUAAUGCUUACACCGGAGACUGAGGGGAUUUAAUGAA
rnacentral:misc_RNA from 1 species